UCAUGAAUGUUGUGCUAAGGCUGAUCCUGAAAGAAAUGAAUGUAUUUUGUCCCAUAAAAAUUCAACUAAAGGAUUUAUCCCUCCCUUGGUUCAUUCAACUGUAGAGGAGGGUUGCAAGGAAUAUCACGAUAACAGACAUGAAGUUCUAACCAAACAUCUUUAUGAGGUGGGCAGAAGAUAUCCUAAAGCACUAAUUGCCUUAAUUCUUCACACAACUGGAGCCUAUGAUAAAAUAUUUCCAGCCUGUUGUGAGGCAGAUAAUAAAGAUACCUGUUUCCGGGAAAAGGCAACAGAAGUCACAAAGAAAUUUAGG